rnacentral:rRNA from 1 species
AGAUUGAACGCUGGCGGCAUGCCUUACACAUGCAAGUCGAACGGCAGCACGGGAGCAAUCCUGGUGGCGAGUGGCGAACGGGUGAGUAAUACAUCGGAACGUGCCCAAUCGUGGGGGAUAACGCAGCGAAAGCUGUGCUAAUACCGCAUAAGAUCUACGGAUGAAAGCAGGGGGAUCGCAAGACCUUGCGCGAAUGGACGCGGCCGAUGGCAGAUUAGGUAGUUGGUAGAGGUAAAGGCUCACCAAGCCUUCGAUCUGUAGCUGGUCUGAGAGACGACCAGCCACACUGGGACUGAGACACGGGCCAGACUCCUACGGGAGGCAGCAGUGGGAAUUUUGGACAAUGGGACGAAGCCUGAUCAGCA